rnacentral:rRNA from 1 species
UGGGGAAUUUUGGACAAUGGGGGAAACCCUGAUCCAGCCAUCCCGCGUGUGCGAUGAAGGCCUUCGGGUUGUAAAGCACUUUUGGCAGGAAAGAAACGUCAUGGGUUAAUACCCCGUGAAACUGACGGUACCUGCAGAAUAAGCACCGGCUAACUACGUGCCAGCAGCCGCGGUAAUACGUAGGGUGCAAGCGUUAAUCGGAAUUACUGGGCGUAAAGCGUGCGCAGGCGGUUCGGAAAGAAAGAUGUGAAAUCCCAGAGCUCAACUUUGGAGCUGCAUUUUUAACUACCGGGCUAGGGUGUGUCAGAGGGAGGUGGAAUUCCGCGUGUAGCAGUGAAAUGCGUAGAUAUGCGGAGGAACACCGAUGGCGAAGGCAGCCUCCUGGGAUAACACUGACGCUCAUGCACGAAAGCGUGGGGAGCAAACAGG